rnacentral:rRNA from 1 species
GACGAGGGAUCCUAGCGUUGCUCGGAAUUAUUGGGCGUAAAGCGGGUGUAGGUGGCUUGGUAAGUCGGGUGUGAAAGCCCAGGGCUUAACCCUGGAAGUGCAUUCGAUACUACUUAGCUUGAGUGCGAGAGAGGUUAAUAGAAUACCUGGUGUAGUGGUGAAAUACGUAGAUAUCAGGUGGAACACCGGAGGCGAAGGCGGUUAACUGGCUCGACACUGACACUGAGACCCGAAAGUGCGGGGAUCAAACAGG